rnacentral:rRNA from 1 species
GGAGGAAUAUUGGUCAAUGGGCGGAAGCCUGAACCAGCCAUGCCGCGUGAAGGACUAAGGCCCUAUGGGUCGUAAACUUCUUUAGACGCAGAGCAAUAAGGGUCUCGCGAGAUCCGAUGAGAGUAUGCGUAGAAUAAGCAUCGGCUAACUCCGUGCCAGCAGCCGCGGUAAUACGGGGGAUGCGAGCGUUAUCCGGAUUUAUUGGGUUUAAAGGUGCGUAGGCGGAAGUGCAAGUCAGCGGUGAAAUCCCCGCGCUCAACGCGGGAGUUGCCGUUGAUACUGUACAUCUGGAAUGCUCUUGCCGUGGGAGGAAUGAGUAGUGUAGCGGUGAAAUGCAUAGA